UUCAGAAACCUAUAUUUUCUCCCCAAUUCUCUCCCGAGCCCAGAUUUGUUCCUCUCUCUUCCACCGGCCAUAUCUCCCUCCACAGACCUCCGAUCGACUUGAUUCCAAAAGUAUUUUCAUUCGCCUUGAAGUCAGUUAAAACUUCCUAGAAGACAUCAAAGUGAGAAAAGAACCAUGGAAGGUGCUAGGAGGCCGAGAAGCUGCACAGCUCGAGCUGGAAUUCGCCCGAUGCUGCUCUUCCUUCACCGGCCGAUAUCUCUCUCAUCCAACCUCGAAUCGAGUUGAUUCCAAAAGGGAUUUUGCUGGGCCUGAGCUAUAUUACAACUUUGUAGAAGACAUCGAGGGGAAAUAACCAACGUGGUAGCCGCUACAAGUCGAAGAACACGGUGCAGUCGAGCUGGAAAUCACCUCCUUUCCCCACCGUCGUUCUCCCUCCUCCGGCCACCUUUUUCCGUGAUUCUUGAGAGGAUUCUGCACUUCUGAGGAUGUAGAUCAUUUCCCCUAAGGUGGAUUGCAUCGAUUUCAUCUGUGGAGAUCGAAUUGGAACGAAUUCAAAACUAGGGUUCUUCGGGUUUCAAACCUUAUAAGGUGAUUGACGGUUUGAGUUAGUGGACGAUUGUGGAUCGUAUUUUGAGCGGAAUUGAAGACGCAGCGGGAUUAUCGAGCGGGUAAUCCUACAGGACAGGAGAACCAGGACGGUGAUCGUGCGGUUAGAGCAAUUGUUAGAGUUUUACAGCAAUUGUACGUUGUGAGGUGUGUUAUGCUCAUUUGAGCUUUACAAUAUUGCUUGUGAGAGUGAAUUGUAAUAAUGAACUCGAAGUUUCGAGAUUUGGAUUUUGUAAUUGUAAUUAUUCAUGUUUCGGAUUUGAAUUUAUUAUUCAAAAUUCGGGGCGUGACAAUAAACUUAU